rnacentral:rRNA from 1 species
AGCGAACGCUGGCGGCAGGCCUAACACAUGCAAGUCGAACGAAGUCUUCGGACUUAGUGGCGGACGGGUGAGUAACACGUGGGAACGUGCCUUUAGGUUCGGAAUAACUCAGGGAAACUUGUGCUAAUACCGAAUGUGCCCUUCGGGGGAAAGAUUUAUCGCCUUUAGAGCGGCCCGCGUCUGAUUAGCUAGUUGGUGAGGUAAAGGCUCACCAAGGCGACGAUCAGUAGCUGGUCUGAGAGGAUGAUCAGCCACAUUGGGACUGAGACACGGCCCAAACUCCUACGGGAGGCAGCAGUGGGGAAUCUUGCGCAAUGGGCGAAAGCUUGACGCAGCCAUGCCGCGUGAAUGAUGAAGGUCUUGGGAUUGUAAAAUUCUUUCACCGGGGACGAUAAUGACGGUACCCGGAGAAGAAGCCCCGGCUAACUUCGUGCCAGCCGCCGCUGUAAUAC